rnacentral:rRNA from 1 species
GAUGAACGCUGGCGGCAUGCCUUACACAUGCAAGUCGAACGGCAGCACGGGUGCUUGCACCUGGUGGCGAGUGGCGAACGGGUGAGUAAUGUAUCGGAACGUACCUUUCAGUGGGGGAUAACUAUCCGAAAGGAUAGCUAAUACCGCAUAUUCUGUGAGCAGGAAAGCAGGGGAUCGCAAGACCUUGCGCUGAUUGAGCGGCCGAUAUCAGAUUAGCUAGUUGGUGGGGUAAAGGCCUACCAAGGCUACGAUCUGUAGCGGGUCUGAGAGGAUGAUCCGCCACACUGGAACUGAGACACGGUCCAGACUCCUACGGGAGGCAGUAGUGGGGAAUUUUGGACAAUGGGGGCAACCCUGAUCCAGCCAUGCCGCGUGAGUGAAGAAGGCCUUCGGGUUGUAAAGCUCUUUCGGACGGGAAGAAAUCGCAUCGGCUAAUACCUGGUGCGGAUGACGGUACCGUAAUAAGAAGCACCGGCUAACUACGUGCCAGCCGCCGCAGUAA